AGCAGCCUCCAUUUCCAAAGUGAGCCUGGCACACAUCUCUCUCCCUCAUCCCUCCUUCUCCACCUCCGGCCAUCACCGCAGCCAGGCCGGCGUGGCGGUGCGCCACCAGCUCCACCACUCCACCACAACCAGCAUCACCACCCAUCCAUCCAUCGCGCGCCCAACGCCCGUGCUGCCCUCUUCCCCCAUGUCCCUGCUGCCCUUCUACUCCUCCUCUUGCUGUUGUCUUCUUCCCUGAACUCCUAACCCUGCUAUUGCUCUUCUCCUUCUUCUUCUCUCAACGCUCCUGCUGCUCCUUCUCCUUGCAUCCCCUUGCUGCUGUUGCCUCAACCUGCUGCUUCUCUCUCCCUGACGCCCCUGUUGCUGCUACUACUCUAAUCUCCAACCUGCUGCUGCUCUUCGCCGGCGCCCCUUGCUGCUCCUCACUUGCUGAAGCGCUGCUCUGAACCCCUCUUGCUGCCGUAUUCUUCUAGGACCCCAACUGUUGUUGUUCCCCUUUUCUCUCUUUACUUCUCACGAAUUUCUAAAAUCAGUAUGAUGAAUAUGGUGUACUGUUCUGCACACAUUAUUGGUGCCUUCAUGUGUUUUAUGGUCUGCUACAAUUUCAAUGUACUUGUGUAAAACUAUACAAUAUUUGGUUUCUAGUGUCUGAAUCCUUGUGUCUAUUAUUGUUGUACUAAUAUUUGUCAGCGUGAAUUGGCUAGUGUGAUGUGAGCCCUAUACUUGUGCUUUAUAUUCCUGUUGGUGUCUAGUGUUCAGUUUGUGGUAUCCGUGUUAGCUUUGUACCUGUGAUAUAAAUAUAUAUGUUCGUGUUUUGAUAUAUUUUUGUCCCUGUCAUAUUAUUGUUUCUUCCCUCUGUUAUAUGUAUGAUAGUUAUAUAUGUGUCCUUGUCAUGUUACUUCCCUCUUGUUUUAGUCUAUGCUGUCAGUAGUAAUCUGAAAUACCAAUAAGAAAGCGAGUUCAAAUCUUUAUAUCCCUCUGCUUCUUUUUUCAUUUUGUUUGUCGUCAACCUUGUUUAGUUUAGGUUUUAUUUUCUGCAUCCGUCUCUUAAAAUUGUGUUACCUAGAUUUAGCCGAGCAUAGUCGUCGUCGCCUUGUCCCUGUGGGGAACACGACACUCGCAGUUCGGGCAAAAUAUCCCGAUGUACCUUCAAUUGAUCAUUUUGGCACCGUUUCCGGGGACUAGCGUCGAGCGAUUGUGUUAGGCUAUAGACUAGGUUUUUCUUCUUUUUCUAGUUUGUGCCAUAUAUUUGUGAUAUAUCUCUAACCACUAACCCUUGUUCUAGCUAGUAUCUUUUUGUUUUCUUUUCCUUUUGCAGGUUAGAGCUAUCUGCUCGGUUAUGGCAUAUUAUUUAGAUUGUCUCGGAGAUGCGAGGAACACUAUAAACAGCAUGUAAACUAUUCAAGAACUGAUAAGGACAUUCACCCACUAAAUGUCAGCGUGGUUACUCUCACUCUCCCGAUUGUUAUGGCAUGAGCUUCGCCCCACAGCCUAGCUCAUACCAAAACAAUUACUCAUAUGGGUGGCCUGAGAACCAGAAUAUGUCAUAUAGGAGCAACAACCCUGAGAUCUCACUGUUUGCUUCUAGUAAUCAUAUGCAGGGAUUUAGGUACAAUGAGGAGAGCCACAACUAUGCUCCACAAUAGAUUUAUUCAGCUCCUACUCAUAUACCUCAACACCAGGAGAUGUUUCCAAUGGAGUUAAAUGGUACUCCAUUUGGUCAACCAACAACUCCAGCAACCGCCGAGCAAUCUCAUGUGCAAGUGCCCACACAAGAUGAAUUUGAUGAUACAGACAAGCUCACAUUGCUUAGUCUCGAGUUCACUUGGAGUGCCAAGGAUGAUCCUAUUAGGAAGGUUAUACUAGAGGAAAUGAAGAAGAUCAAGAGUGGAAAAGAGCUAGUUGAAGAAGUAAGGAAGAUUGAGAAGAACAUCAACGCUGGCAGCACUAUUUCUUCAUAGCUUGAGCUGAGUGUUUCUGGGAUUACCCUUGAUACAUGUGAGGUUCCAACACCUUCAUAUCCAGCCAAGGAAGAUAGCAAGUGCCUUGAGGAAGAGAUAUCUCAGAUUGAAGAAGAUGAACUAGAAGACAAGGAACAAGAUGACCAAGAGCUUGAAUGCCCAAGUGAUCAAGAUGAAGAUCCAUUGCCUAUCACUCCUGAAGAAGUAAAAGAAGCUCCUGUAGUUGAAGAUGAAGAACCAGAAAUUCAUUUGCCCAUCGUCAUCCAAGAGCGUGAUAUAGCAGGUUUAUCUAAUCCUCUCGAUGACAUGCGUCCAUAUGAAUUGUUUCCUACUACCUUGCAUUGCAUGAUGUUAUCUGUUAAAGUAGAUUUGAAGAAGUGUUUGCUUGGAUAUGAUGAUACAUAUACUGUUGGUGGCAUUGCUCAUAUUAAUGAUGAUCACACUUAUUUUCCUCAUGCCAAACCUAUGCUUAAUGAUAAAUAUCAUCCUCAUGUUAGUAUUGAGCUUGCUGAUUCCUAUCAUACUCGCCAUGUUCUUUAUAGCUAUGCAUAUGUAAUUGGGUACUCUAUUGAUGAUUUAGAGGGCAUUACCCCUUUCACUUGUAUGGUCUCUUUUGUCGAGUGCUCUUUCAAGUUUUCGCUACUGCACCGUUCACUACAUGCUGACCAGGUUCGAGGUGACAUUCCUUGGGACCGCGGUGGAUUUAGAGCAUGGUGAAGAGGAGAAGCAAUGGGCACAUACAAGGAAGAGAAAAGCUGGAGCGUGCACGAGGAUAGAGAGCAUGAGGAUAGAGAAGCAAAAGGAGAGGAGUCGUGAUGCAAGAAGAUGUGAGAUCAUCGAGCGAGUUCUACUUCAUAAAGCCUGGUGAGCUGUUUCAUGACCCCAAUAUGAAUAUAUCAUCUAUUGAUACAAGCUGAAAUCAAUUGCUAGUUGGGUUGCUUGAGCCAGUUAUUACUUAUUGUCAAGCUGAAAUUCACCUUUGGUAUGGUGCUUGUUGUGAAUAUGUGAACUGAAUUGUGAAUGCCUUGUAAACUAGUGAUCUACAUACUGCUUGCUUUGCUGAAAUUAGUGAAAGUUAUUAGUUUUGAGUGCUCAAAUCCCUAGUACACUAGAAAACUACCAUCAUUUUCUGCAUUUACUUUGAUACACCUAGAUCAUCAAGUGUUAGAUGCUGAUUUUGUGCCAAGUGUCUUCCCAUCCAGAGCAAUCACUUAACCACUAUGGAUUAGCAUGCUAUAUUCUCUGUAUCAGUAGCAUGUGAACCAGAAAUGGAUGAGUGAUGAUUCUUGUUUCCUUCCUUAUGUUUCAUGCCAUUGUAAUUCCUUUGUUCAAUAUGUCAUAAUGAAUAUAAGUCUAGUCUACCUGCAGUAGCAUGUCAUGUUCCCUGGAUCGGUGGCGUGUUAAAUUUGGUAGCUUGGACAGCAAUAAAUAAAUAAAAAUGCAAUAUUUGUCGAACCAUGUGUAUACCAUGUUCUCGGGAUCGGUGGUAUGUUCCUUUGAUGAGACUGAUAAAAUAUUAUCAUUGCUUCCUUCAAAAUUCAAUAAGUAGUUUAGCCAUAAUGUUGUGUUCCUGAUAACAAGUAUUUCUGGGGAUCAUGCUCUCUUUAGGAACCUUUUGGCACAAUCUGCAUUUAAACUUGUUGAUCCACUUUUAUCAUUGUAAAAGUUUAAAAUGAUCGAGUCUACUAGUAUCCUAUUGCUUUGUAGCAUCCUAACCAUUAAUCUUCACUAACUAAGUCUGAAGCAUGCAUUGUUUGGAGAUCUACUUUACUAGGACCUUCUCUAGUCAGUUCACUAUUCAUACUCUUGCUCUUGUGAUAUGCCUUUGCUUGAGGACAAGAAAGAUUUAAGUGUGGGGGAACUUGAUAGAGAAUUUCCUCAUAUAAUCUUUUUAGCCUUUUUGCAUCAAAUUGUAAUCAUAUUUUCAUAUUAUUUACUCGAAAGAUAUUCAAAUACGCAUAUUAUGUCACAUUUACAACACUACGACCUUCUCUAGUCAGUUCACUAUUCAUACUCUUGCUCUUGUGAUAUGCCUUUGCUUGAGGACAAGAAAGAUUUAAGUGUGGGGGAACUUGAUAGAGAAUUUCCUCAUAUAAUCUUUUUAGCCUUUUUGCAUCAAAUUGUAAUCAUAUUUUCAUAUUAUUUACUCGAAAGAUAUUCAAAUACGCAUAUUAUGUCACAUUUACAACACUACUCCAUCUUUUGCAGAAAAUGGCGAAAAGGCCCAAAUCCUUCUAUAUUACAGUGUCUAAGAGGUUGCGGUUGCUGCAUUUUGCGAAGGGACUCGAGUAUGAAGAAUUAAUGAAACGAAGGGCCAACACUAAAGAAGAAAGGGAUCUACUUGAGGCUGAAGAAGAGAAGAAGGAGGGCAAAAGUGCAAAAUGGCAGAUCAAGGAGGGGAUCAAAAUCCCUAGCAGCCUCCAUUUCCAAACCGAGCCUGGCACACAUCUCUCUCCCUCAUCCCUCCUUCUCCACCUCCGGCCGCCGCCGCGGCCAGGCCGGCGUGGCGGCGUGUCACCAGCUCCACCACUCCACCACAACCAGCAUCACCACCCAUCCAUCCAUCCGCACCACAUCCACCUCACGCAACUCACCAGACAGAGGGCCGGCGGUGCCUGAUCCAUCACGCGCCCAACGCCCGUGUUGCCCUCUUCCCCCAUCUCCCUGCUGCCCUUCUACUCCUCCUCUUGCUGUUGUCUUCUUCCCUGAACUCCUAACCCUGCUAUUGCUCUUCUUCUUUUUCUUCUCUCAACGCUCCUGCUGCUCCUUCUCCUUGCAUCCCCUUGCUUUUGUUGCCUCAACCUGCUGCUUCUCUCUCCCUGACGCCCCUGCUGCUGCUAAUACUCUAAUCUCCAACCUGCUGCUGCUCUUCGCCAGUGCCCCCUUGCUGCUCCUCACUCGCUGAAGCUCUGCUCUGAACCCCUCUUGCUGCCGUAUUCUUCUAGGACCCCAACUGUUGUUGUUCCCCUUUUCUCUCUUUACUUCUCACGAAUUUCUAAAAUCAUUAUGAUGAAUAUGGUGUACUGUUCUGCACACAUUAUUGGUGCCUUCGUGUGUUUUAUGGUCUGCUAUAAUUUCAAUGUACUUGUGUAAAACUAUACAAUAUUUGGUUUCUAGUGUCUGAAUCCUUGUGUCUAUUAUUGUUGUACUAAUAUUUGUCAGCGUGAAUUGGCUAGUGUGAUGUGAGCCCCGUACUUGUGCUUUAUAUUCCUGUUGGUGUCUAGUGUUCAGUUUGUGGUUGUUAGCUUUGUACCUAUGAUAUAAAUAUAUAUGUUCGUGUUUUGAUA